GGAAGUAAAAGUCGUAACAAGGUUUCCGUAGGUGAACCUGCGGAAGGAUCAUUACCGAGCAAGGGUUCCCUCGUCUGGGGCCCGACCUCUCCACCGUGCCGAAUCGGACCCUGUUGCUUCAGCGGGCUGGAGGGCUGAUGCCUGGCCGUCAAGUCUUCCCCAGCUAGGCCCGCUGGAGACCCCUGUGAAAUACCGAUGCGUCAACAAAUGCCGUCUGAGUGGGAAUGCAAUCUAGUCGCAAAACUUUCAACAAUGGAUCUCUUGGUUCCGGCAUCGAUGAAGAACGCAGCGAAAUGCGAUAAGUAAUGCGAAUUGCAGAAUUCCGUGAAUCAUCGAAUCUUUGAACGCAUAUUGCGCCCUCCGGAAUUCCGGAGGGCAUGCCUGUCCGAGUGUCAUUGCCUCUCUCCGAGCCCCCAGCUUGGGUGUUGGGCCGCCGUCCCCCUCCGCGGUGGGGCUGGGACGGGCCUGAAAGACAACGGCGGUGCGAUGGUCAGCCUCCGAGCGUAUGGGGGUGUUGUUUUCCCGCUCCAUGGGGUGUGAUGGGCACCUGUCUCUCUGCAGUGUUGACUCCAGUGGACCUCGGAUCAGGUAAGGAUACCCGCUGAACUUAAGCAUAUC
rnacentral:rRNA from 1 species